CCUACGGGAGGCAGCAGUCGAGAAUCAUUCACAAUGGGGGAAACCCUGAUGGUGCGACGCCGCGUGGGGGAAUGAAGGUCUUCGGAUUUUAAACCCCUGUCAUGUGGGAGCAAAUGAAAAAGAUAGUACCACAAGAGGAAGAGACGGCUAACACUGUGCCAGCCGCCGCGGUAAUACAGAGGUCUCAAGCGUUGAUCGGAAUCACUGGGCGUAAAGCGCGUGUAGGCUGUUUCGUAAGUCGUGUGUGAAAGGCGCGGGCUCAAGCCGCGGACGGCAUGUGAUACUGGGAGACUAGAGUAAUGGAGAGGGAAGCAGAAUUCUCGGUGUAGCGGUGAAAUGCGUAGAUAUCGGGAGGAACACUCGUGGCGAAGGCGGGUUCCUGGACAUAAACUGACGCUGAGGCGCGAAGGCCAGGGGAGCAAAAGGGAUUAGAUACCCUUGUAGUC
rnacentral:rRNA from 1 species